rnacentral:rRNA from 1 species
UACGUAGGGCGCAAGCGUUGUCCGGAAUUAUUGGGCGUAAAGAGCUCGUAGGCGGCCUGUCGCGUCUGCUGUGAAAUCCCGGGGCUUAACCCCGGGCGUGCAGUGGAUACGGGCUGGCUGGAGGCAGGCAGGGGAGAACGGAAUUCCCGGUGUAGCGGUGAAAUGCGCAGAUAUCGGGAGGAACACCGGUGGCGAAGGCGGUUCUCUGGGCCUUACCUGACGCUGAGGAGCGAAAGCGUGCGGAGCGAACAGG